CAGGCUGGCCCGGACGUCAGAUGGUGC
rnacentral:piRNA from 1 species